rnacentral:rRNA from 1 species
UACGUAGGGGGCAAGCGUUGUCCGGAAUUAUUGGGCGUAAAGAGCGUGUAGGCGGUCCGGUAAGUCAGCUGUGAAAGUCAAGGGCUCAACCCUUGAAUGCCGGUUGAUACUGUCGGGCUAGAGUCCGGAAGAGGCGAGUGGAAUUCCCGGUGUAGCGGUGAAAUGCGCAGAUAUCAGGAAGAACACCCGUGGCGAAGGCGGCUCUCUGGGACGGUACUGACGCUGAGACGCGAAAGCGUGGAGAGCGAACAGG